UACGUAGGUGACAAGCGUUGUCCGGAUUUACUGGGCGUAAAGAGCGCGCAGGCGGUCGAUCAAGUCGAGUGUGAAAGCCCCCGGCUCAACUGGGGAGGGUCAUUCGAUACUGAUCGACUCGAAGGCAGGAGAGGGUAGUGGAAUUCCCGGUGUAGUGGUGAAAUGCGUAGAUAUUCGCAAGAACACCAGUGGCGAAGGCGGCUCACUGGCCCGGUACUGACGCUGAGGUGCGAAAGCGUGGGGAGCAAACAGG
rnacentral:rRNA from 1 species